ACCAUAAUUGAAAGACAUUUCUUUUCAGAUAAGAGUUGAAUCCAGACGUCCCGCAGGGGUCAGUACUGUCUCCCAUGUUGUUCAACAUAUACAUGAAGCCGCUGGGAGAGAUCAUCCGGAGUUUCGGGGUGCGGUGUCAUCUGUACGCAGAUGAUGUCCAGCUCUGUCACUCCUUCCCACCUGUCACUAAGGAGGCUGUUCAGGUCCUGAACCGGUGUCUGGCCGCUGUGUCGGACUGGAUGAGGGCUAACAAAUUGAAAUUGAAUCCAGACAAGACAGAGGUCCUCCUGGUCAGUCGUAAGGCUGAACAGGGAAUAGGGUUACAGCCUGUGUUGGACGGGGUCGCACUCCCCCUGAAGACACAGGUUCGCAGUCUGGGGGUCCUCCUGGACUCAUCGCUGAGCCUGGAGCCCCAGGUCUCGGCGGUGGCCAGGGGAGCCUUUGCACAACUCAGACUUGUGUGCCAGCUGCGCCCGUUCCUUGGGAGGUCUGACUUGGCCACGGUGGUCCACGCUCUGGUUACAGCUCGUUUGGACUACUGCAACGCGCUCUACGUGGGGCUGCCUUUGAAGACGGCCCGGAAGCUUCAAUUAGUACAACGGGCGGCAGCCAGGCUUAUAACUGGAGCGGCGUACAGGGAGCACACCACUCCUCUGUUGCAUCAGCUCCACUGGCUGCCAAUAUGCUACCGAGCCCAAUUCAAAGUGCUGGUUUUGGCCUACAAAGCCCUAAACGGUUCCGGUCCAACUUACCUAUCUGAACGUAUCUCCUCCUAUGAGCCCAUGAGAACUUUAAGAUUGUCUGGGAAGGCCCUGCUCUCGGUCCCACCUGCCUCACAAGUGCGGCUGGUGGGAAUGAGGGACAGGGCCUUCUCGGUGGUGGCUCCUCGGCUGUGGAACUCCCUCCCCAGUGACAUCCGGCAGGCUCCAUCCCUUCUGAGUUUCAGAAAAAAGGUGAAGACCCGGCUUUGCGAACAAGCGUUUAAUGAAUGAAUUAUUAUGGCUUUAACUCGGUCCGGACUAAGGUUUACGUGCAAGGUUUAUGUGGACGAAUGGAUUAAGUAUUUUAUUAUACUGUUUUAAAUGUAUUUAUUGGAUUGUUUUAAAUUGAUUGUUUUAAUUGCUAUGUUUAUUUUUGUACUGUAUACCGGCAUCGAAUUUGCCAGAUUGUGAGCCGCCCCGAGUCCCUUCGGGUGAGAAGGGCGGCAUAUAAAUGAUGGAAAUAAAUAAAAAUAAAUAAAUCAAUAUACCUACCAAGCUCCCAUUGAUACAACAGUCUAGCGUACGGCAACGGAACCAUGGCAGUUUAAGUAAGAUCAAAGUGCUACAAUUCUGUAGUGUGGAAGGCCUACAUCUUUAGAAACUGGAAUAUUGGUAACAGCAAAUCAAAGUAGUUGUAACAACAAUAUCAAAAUAUUUUAAAAGAAUCAGUAAAGCAUAGUACUUUACAAGACAUAAAUGCAGUUCUGUUAUUAUGGUCCAUUGGAUCAGUGAGGCUUGCUUCCACUUAAGUGUAUGCAGGAUCGAGCCUAAAUGCAGCUAUACUUUCACCUCUUUUGUAGGACUAUGACCAUGAUGGCAAACUUUCUUAUGCAGAUUUUGAAAAUGCCGUAAAAGAUGAGAACCUCCUUCUAGAAGCAUUUGGACCAUGUUUACCUGAUAUGAAGUGUAGGUUGGCAUUUGAAGCGCAAGCAUUCCGAAAUACAGCUGAGUGCUCUGCAAGCAAAAGAUACUAAUUGAAUUCCUGUGAAAAGGACACUGAUCAUCUUUCUUUAAAUAAAAAGAAAGCAAGUCAGAAAUUUA